CCCUUAGAUGUUCUGGGCCGCACGCGCGCUACACUGAUGCAUUCUACGAGUCUAAAACCUGCUCUGAUAGGGGUGGGUAAUCUUUUGAAUGUGCAUCGUGAUUGGGAUAGAUGAUUGCAAUUUUUCAUCUUCAACGAGGAAUGCCUAGUAAACGCAAGUCAUCAGCUUGCAUUGAUUACGUCCCUGCCCUUUGUACACACCGCCCGUCGCUCCUACCGAUUGAAUGAUCCGAUGAAUAUCAUGGAUUGAGGAUGCAAGUAGGUUCGCCUAUCUUCAUCUUCGAGAAGUGAAGUAAAUCUUAUCAUUUAGAGGAAGGAGAAGUCGUAACA
rnacentral:rRNA from 1 species